GAUGAACGCUAGCGGCAGGCUUAAUACAUGCAAGUCGUGGGGCAGCAUGAGUAGCAAUACUUGAUGGCGACCGGCAAACGGGUGAGGAACACGUACACAACCUUCCUUCAAGCGGGGAAUAGCCCAGAGAAAUUUGGAUUAAUACCCCAUAAUAUAUUUGAUAAGGCAUCUUAUUAAUAUUAAAGCUUCGGCACUUGAUGAUGGGUGUGCGGCUGAUUAGAUAGUUGGCGGGUAACGGCCCACCAAGUCUACGAUCAGUAGCUGAUGUGAGAGCAUGAUCAGCCACACGGGCACUGAGACACGGGCCCGACUCCUACGGGAGGCAGCAGUAAGGAAUAUUGGACAAUGGACGAAAGUCUGAUCCAGCCAUGCCGCGUGAAGGAUUAAGGUCCUCUGGAUUGUAAACUUCUUUUAUAUGGGACGAAAAAGGGCAUUCUGUUCACUUGACGGUACCAUAUGAAUAAGCACCGGCUAACUCCGUGCCAG
rnacentral:rRNA from 1 species